CGGCCACGUCAAGUUGAACCAACGAUUACCGUACGAUCAGCGAAGUUAAGCAACGUCGAUCCUGGUCAGUACCUAGAUGGGUGACCAUUUGGGAAUACCAGGUACUGUAAG